GACGAACGCUGGCGGCGUGCCUAACACAUGCAAGUCGAGCGGGGUCCAAAUCCAGUGGCAACACUGGGGAAGACCUAGCGGCGAACGGGUGAGUAACACGUGAGAAACCUGCCCUGAACUCUGGGAUAACCCGAGGAAACUCGAGCUAAUACCGGAUGCCCCCACCGGGUCGCAUGGCCUGGUGAGGAAAGAUUUUAUCG
rnacentral:rRNA from 1 species